ensembl:lncRNA
CCAGAGCAGCGGGACAUCGUCGCGUCAGAGCCGAAACAGGUCCCGAUCUCGGACUAAGUGGUGCGGUUGGUGUCCAACGGUCUGGAAGUCUUGGGGAGGCUCCAGAGCAGCGGGACAUCGUCGCGUAAGAGCCGAAACAGGUCCCGAUCUCGGACUAAGUGGUGCGGUUGGUGUCCAACGGUCUGGAAGUCUUGGGGAGGCUCCAGAGCAGCGGGACAUCGUCGCGUAAGAGCCGAAACAGGUCCCGAUCUCGGACUAAGUGGUGCGGUUGGUGUCCAACGGUCUGGAAGUCUUGGGGAGGCUCCAGAGCAGCGGGACAUCGUCGCGUCAGAGUCCGAAACAGGUCCCGAUCUCGGACUGAAUAGUG